CUCUGGCAGAGAUGUGCAGGUGAAUGGACACCACCCUCCUGGGGCCACGUGAAGUCCUCUGUCCCAGCCCGACCAACCCUCCAGGCUGGACAGCGAGCUACUGACCUUCAGCCUCUCCCGGCAUCGCUCCUGGUGGCGUGAGCACUGGCCGGGCUGUCUGCACGAGGAGGUGCCGGCAGUGGGCCUCGGGGCCCCCCAUGGCCAGGCCCUGGUGUCAGGUGCUGGCUGUGCCCUGGAGCCCAGCUAUGUGGAGGCCCUACACAGCGGCCUGCAGAUCCUGAUCGCGCUUCUGGGCUUUGUCUGUGGCUGCUAUGUGGUCAGCGUGUUUACGGAGGAAGAGGACAGCUUUGAUUUCAUUGGUGGAUUUGAUCCAUUUCCUCUCUACCAUGUCAAUGAAAAGCCACCCAGCCUCUUGUCCAAGCAGGCGUACUUGCCUGCGUAAGUGAGGAAACAGCUGAUCCUGCUCCUGCGGCCUCCAGCCUCGGCGACUGACCAGUGACAAUGACAGGAGCUCCCAGGCCUUGGGACAUGCCCCCACCCAGCACCCCCCAGGUGGCCAGCAGCACCUGCCCUGGGUUCUAAGUGCUGGACACCAGCCAGGGCGGCAGGGCAGUGCCACGGCUGGCUGCAGCUUCAAGAGAGUUUGUAAUUUCCUUGCUCUUAAAAAAAAAAAAAGAAAACAUACAAAAGAAAAGGCAGAGCCCCACAUGCCCACCUCCUCCGGCAACAUGGGGGUCACAGCUCUGCCCCCAGGCCGUCUUCUCGUCGAGGAGCCCCUCCCUCAGGUGCCCAC
rnacentral:sRNA from 1 species